CGAGUGGGUUGUAAACCUCUUUUCUCAGGGAAGAAGCUCUGACGGUACCUGAGGAAUAAGCACCGGCUAACUCCGUGCCAGCAGCCGCGGUAAGACGGAGGAUGCAAGCGUUAUCCGGAAUUAUAGCGUAAAGCGUCCGUAGGCGGUCGAUUAAGUCUGCUGUCAAAGACUGCAGCUCAACUGUGGAUAGGCAGUGGAAACUGAUUGACUAGAGUACGGUAGGGGUAGAGGGAAUUCCCAGUGUAGCGGUGAAAUGCGUAGAUAUUGGGAAGAACACCAGUGGCGAAGGCGCUCUACUGGGCCGUAACUGACGCUGAGGGACGAAAGCUAGGGGAGCGAAUGGGAUUAG
rnacentral:rRNA from 1 species